rnacentral:rRNA from 1 species
AGGCUUUGAUCCUGGCUCAGGAUGAACGCUGGCGGUCUGCUUAACACAUGCAAGUCGAACGGGGUUCUUCGGAACCUAGUGGCGGACGGGUGAGUAACGCGUGAGAAUCUGCCCUUAGGAGGGGGAUAACGACUGGAAACGGUCGCUAAUACCCCAUAUGCCGAGAGGUGAAACGGUGAAUUCCGCCUGAGGAUGAGCUCGCGUCUGAUUAGCUAGUUGGUGGGGUAAGAGCCUACCAAGGCGACGAUCAGUAGCUGGUCUGAGAGGAUGACCAGCCACACUGGGACUGAGACACGGCCCAGACUCCUACGGGAGGCAGCAGUGGGGAAUUUUCCGCAAUGGGCGCAAGCCUGACGGAGCAAGACCGCGUGGGGGAAGACGGUUUGUGGAUUGUAAACCCCUUUUGACCGGGAAGAAGCACUGACGGUACCGUUCGAAUCAGCAUCGGCUAACAUCCG